UACGAAGGGGGCUAGCGUUGUUCGGAAUUACUGGGCGUAAAGCGCACGUAGGCGGAUCGAUCAGUCAGGGGUGAAAUCCCAGAGCUCAACUCUGGAACUGCCUUUGAUACUGUCGAUCUAGAGUAUGGAAGAGGUGAGUGGAAUUCCGAGUGUAGAGGUGAAAUUCGUAGAUAUUCGGAGGAACACCAGUGGCGAAGGCGGCUCACUGGUCCAUUACUGACGCUGAGGUGCGAAAGCGUGGGGAGCAAACGGG
rnacentral:rRNA from 1 species